AACGAACGUUAGCGGCGCGCCUAACACAUGCAAGUCGCACGAGAAAGGGCUUCGGCCCCGGUAAAGUGGCGCACGGGUGAGUAACACGUGGGUAAUCUGCCUCCGAGCAGGGGAUAACGACCCGAAAGGGUCGCUAAUACCGCAUAAGACCACGGCCUCGAAAGAGGACGCGGUAAAAGCUGGCCUCUAUACAUAAGCUAGCACUUGGAGAUGAGCCCGCGGCGCAUCAGCUAGUUGGUGGGGUAAUGGCCCACCAAGGCUAAGACGCGUAACUGGUCUGAGAGGAUGAUCAGCCACACUGGAACUGAGACACGGUCCAGACUCCUACGGGAGGCAGCAGUGGGGAAUCUUGCGCAAUGGGCGAAAGCCUGACGCAGCGACGCCGCGUGAGUGAUGAAGGCCUUCGGGUUGUAAAGCUCUGUGGGGAGAGACGAAUAAGUGCAGGCUAAUACCCUGCAUGAUGACGGUAUCUCCUUAGCAAGCACCGGCUAACUCUGUGCCAGCAGCCGCCGUAAUAC
rnacentral:rRNA from 1 species